rnacentral:rRNA from 1 species
UACGUAGGUGGCAAGCGAUACUCGGAAUCACUAGGCGUAAAGCGCAGGUAGGAGGUUUGGUAAGUCUGUUGUGAAAGCUCCCGGCUUAACUGGGAGAGGUCAACGGAAACUACCAGGCUAGAGUGCGGUAGAGGUAGCUGGAAUUCCCGGUGUAGCGGUGAAAUGCGUAGAUAUCGGGAAGAACACCCGUGGCGAAGGCGGUUCUCUGGGACGGUACUGACGCUGAGACGCGAAAGCGUGGGGAGCGAACAGG